rnacentral:rRNA from 1 species
CCAAUAGCGUAUAUUAAAGUUGCUGCAGUUAAAAAGCUCGUAGUUGAAUUUCGGGACCAUCAUGUCGGUCGUGCCUCGGUACGUACUGGCAUGUUGGUUUCUCCCUUCUGACGAACCAUGAUGUCAUUUAUUUGGUGUCGUGGGGAAUCAGGACUGUUACUUUGAAAAAAUUAGAGUGUUUAAAGCAGGCUCACGCUUGAAUACAUUAGCAUGGAAUAAUGAAAUAGGACGUUUGAUUCUAUUUUGUUGGUUUCUAGGAUCGACGUAAUGAUUAAUAGGGAUAGUUGGGGGCAUUAGUAUUCAAUUGUCAGAGGUGAAAUUCUUGGAUUUAUUGAAGACUAACUACUGCGAAAGCAUUUGCCAAGGAUGUUUUCAUUAAUCAAGAACGAAAGUUAGGGGAUCGAAGACGAUCAGAUACCGUCGUAGUCUUAACCAUAAACUAUGCCGACUAGGGAUCGGAUGAUGUUAAUUUUUUAAUGACUCAUUCGGCGCCUUACG